rnacentral:rRNA from 1 species
AUUGAACGCUGGCGGCAGGCCUCACACAUGCAAGUCGAACGAGUGGCGGACGGGUGAGUAAUGUCUGGGAAACUGCCUGAUGGAGGGGGAUAACUACUGGAAACGGUAGCUAAUACCGCAUACCAUCGGAUGUGCCCAGAUGGGAUUAGCUAGUCGGUGAGGUAACGGCUCACCUAGGCGACGAUCCCUAGCUGGUCUGAGAGGAUGACCAGCCACACUGGAACUAAGACACGGUCCAGACUCCUACGGGAGGCAGCAGUGGGGAAUAUUGCACAAUGGGCGCAAGCCGGAUGCAGCCAUGCCGCGUGUGUGAAGAAGGCCUUCGGGUUGUAAAGGACUUUCAGCGGGGAGGCGUUACCCGCAGAAGAAGCACCGGCUAACUCCGUGCCAGCAGCCGCGGUAAUUC